rnacentral:rRNA from 1 species
UACGGAGGGGGCGAGCGUUAUUCGGAAUUAUUGGGCGUAAAGGGCGCGUAGGCGGCCAUUCAAGUGACGGGUGAAAGCCCUCGGCUUAACCGAGGAACUGCCUGUCAGACUGGAUGGCUCGAGACCGGGAGAGGUGAGUGGAAUUCCCAGUGUAGCGGUGAAAUGCGUAGAUAUUGGGAGGAACACCAGUGGCGAAGGCGGCUCACUGGACCGGAACUGACGCUGAGGCGCGAAAGCGUGGGGAGCAAACAGG